rnacentral:rRNA from 1 species
CCUACGGGAGGCAGCAGUGAGGAAUAUUGGACAAUGGUCGGAAGACUGAUCCAGCCAUGCCGCGUGCAGGAUGACGGCCUUAUGGGUUGUAAACUGCUUUUGUAAGGGAAGAAUAAGGACUACGUGUAGUUUGAUGACGGUACCUUAUGAAUAAGCAUCGGCUAACUCCGUGCCAGCAGCCGCGGUAAUACGGAGGAUGCGAGCGUUAUCCGGAAUCAUUGGGUUUAAAGGGUCUGUAGGCGGGCUGGUAAGUCAGAGGUGAAAGCGCUUAGCUCAACUAAGCAACUGCCUUUGAAACUGUUGGUCUUGAAUGGUUGUGAAGUAGUUGGAAUGUGUAGUGUAGCGGUGAAAUGCUUAGAUAUUACACAGAACACCGAUAGCGAAGGCAUAUUACUAACAAUUAAUUGACGCUGAUGGACGAAAGCGUGGGGAGCGAACAGGAUUAGAUACCCUGGUAGUCCACGCUGUAAACGAUGGAUACUAGCUGUUUGGUUUUAAGACUGAGUGGCUAAGCGAAAGUGAUAAGUAUCCCACCUGGGGAGUACGUUCGCAAGAAUGAAACUCAAAGGAAUUGACGG